UACAGAGGUCUCAAGCGUUGUUCGGAUUCAUUGGGCGUAAAGGGCGCGUAGGCGGCGGGGCAAGUCGGGUGUGAAAUCUCAGAGCUCAACUCUGAAACUGCACUCGAUACUGCUUUGCUUGAGGACUGGAGAGGAGAUUGGAAUUCACGGUGUAGCAGUGAAAUGCGUAGAUAUCGUGAGGAAGACCAGUGGCGAAGGCGGAUCUCUGGACAGUUCCUGACGCUGAGGCACGAAGGCCAGGGGAGCAAACGGG
rnacentral:rRNA from 1 species